AGAGUUUGAUCAUGGCUCAGAACGAACGCUGGCGGCAGGCCUAACACAUGCAAGUCGAACGCCCCGCAAGGGGAGUGGCAGACGGGUGAGUAACACGUGGGAAUCUUCCUAUCGGUGGGGAAUAGCUCAGGGAAACUUGGGGUAAUACCGCAUAAGCCCGCAAGGGGAAAGAUUUAUCGCCGAUAGAUGAGCCCGCGUCUGAUUAGCUAGUUGGUGAGGUAAUGGCUCACCAAGGCGACGAUCAGUAGCUGGUUUGAGAGAAUGACCAGCCACACUGGGACUGAGACACGGCCCAGACUCCUACGGGAGGCAGCAGUGGGGAAUCUUGGACAAUGGGCGCAAGCCUGAUCCAGCCAUGCCGCGUGAGUGACGAAGGUCUUCGGAUUGUAAAGCUCUUUUAGCAGGGACGAUAAUGACGGUACCUGCAGAAUAGCCC
rnacentral:rRNA from 1 species